UUUUUUUUUUUUUUUUUUUUUUGGCUGUAGCAUGCAGUGGCUUGAUGUGGGAUCUCAGUUCCCAGACCAAGGACUGAAUCUGGGCCACAGCAGUCCUAACCACUAGGCCAUGAAGAAACUCCCUAUGGUUUCGUUAAAAGAAAAAAUCUGUUCUGCGGUGUUCCCUUUAUGGCUCAGCAGUUAAUGAACCUGACUACGAUCCAUGAAGAUGCAGGUUUGAUCCCUGGCCUUGCUCAGUGGGUUAAGGAUCUGGCAUUGUAGUGAGCUGUGGUGUAGGUCAGAGAAGUAGCUUGGUUCCUGUGGCUGUGGUGUAGAUUUGACCCCUAGCCUGGGAACUUCCAUAUACUGCUAGAUUGGCCCUAAAAAGCAAAAGCAAAAAAAAAAUCUAUUCUGCUAAUCCCUCUCCUUUGAUUGUAGUAUCUAAUCCAUUUAUAUUUGGUGUAACUACUGAUAAGAUAGGAUUUAUAUCUGCCUUUUUAAUAUUUUUUCUGUAUGUCUUAUUUGCUUUCUGCCUAUCUUUUUCUGUUCUUCCUGCAUUACUUCCUUUUUUAUGUUAAAUAAAUAUUUUCUAGUGUAUUAUGUAAAUUUCCUUGUUUUUAUUUUCUUUUACUGUAUUUUAAAAAUUAUUUUCUUGGUGGUUGCCCUAAGGAUUAUAAUUAACAUUUUUAUUUUAAAAAUAUAGUUUGAGGAGUUCCCAGGCUAGGGGUCUAAUCUGAGCUGUAGCCACCGGCCUUCACCAGAGCCACAGCAUCACGGGAUCUGAGUUGCAUCUGUAACCUACAUCACAGCUCACAGCAACGCCAGAUCCUUAACCCACUGAGCAAGGCCAGGGAUCGAACCCACAACCUCAUGGUUCCUAUUCAGAUUCAUUAACCACUGAGUCAUGACAGGAGCUCCAAGUUGGAUUCUUUUUUAUUUUAUUUUAUUUUAUUUUCAUUUUUGGCCACUCUGCAGCAUAUGGAGCUCCUGGGCCAGAUAUCAGAUCUGAGCUGCAAUUUCGACCUAAGCCACAGCUGCAGCAACCCCAGAUUCCUAACCCACUGUGCCACUGUUCUGGGCCAGGGGAUCAAACCUAUGUCCCAGCACUCCCAAGACACUGCUGAUCCUUGUGCGCCAGCGAGAGCUCCUGAAGUUGGAUUCUUAACCCACUGCACCAUAGUGGGAACUCCUAUGCCAUUAUCUUUUUAAUCAGACAAUUUCUAUCUCUCUAUAGGUAUUCUCUAUCUGAUGAGACAUUGUGCUUAGACUUUCCUUUAAUUCUUUAAAUAUGGUUUUCUGUAGUACUUUGAACAUGUUUAAAUAGCUGAUUUAAAGUCUUUGUCUCCUAAGCACAACAUCUGGAUUUCAUCAGGAAGUUUCUAUUACAUACUUUUUUUGCAAUAUCUGGGCCAUACUUACCUGUUUCUUUGUGUAUAUCAUCUUUUUUUUUUUUUGAAAAGUGGGUAUUUUAAGUAAUAUAUCAUGGCAACUUUGAAAAUCAGAUCCCUUGUUUUCUUCACCCCCCUACCAGGUUUAUUGUUGCUGUUUUUUUUGUUGUUGUUGUUGUUGUUGUUGCCUUUUGUUAGUUAGUGACUUCCCUGGACUAAUUUUUUUAAGUAUUUAUCCUUUGUCAUGUGUAGCCACUGAAGUUUCUUCUUGGUUAGCUUAGUAGUCAGCUAUUGAUUGGACAGAGAUUCCUUAAAUGCAUUGAACCAAUAAUUCUCCCAGCCUUU
ensembl:lncRNA